GUGGCUGAAAAAUGAGAUGUCUGUGUCUAUAUGUAUGUAUGUCUGUCUUAUGUAUGUCUGUCUGUAUGUCUCUGUCUGUCUGUCAUUGUGUGUGUGUGUGUGUAUGUAUGUCAGGAUGUAUGUAUGCCAGUAUCUAUGUAUGUAUGUAUGUAUGUAUGCAUGUCAUUAUGAAUGUGUGUAUGUAUGUAUGGAUGUCAGUGUCUGUAUGCAUGUAUGUCUUUCUGUCUGUAUGAAUGUAUGUCUGUGUAUGUAUGUAUGUAUGUAUGUAUGUGUGUAUAGAUGUCAGUGUCUGUAUGCCAGUAUGAAUGUAUGUAUGUCUGUCUGUCUGUCUGUAU